rnacentral:rRNA from 1 species
GACGAACGCUGGCGGCGUGCCUAAUACAUGCAAGUAGAACGCACAGUUUAUACCGUAGCUUGCUACACCAUAGACUGUGAGUUGCGAACGGGUGAGUAACGCGUAGGUAACCUGCCUGGUAGCGGGGGAUAACUAUUGGAAACGAUAGCUAAUACCGCAUAAUAUUAAUUAUUGCAUGAUAAUUGAUUGAAAGAUGCAACUGCAUCACUACCAGAUGGACCUGCGUUGUAUUAGCUAGUAGGUGAGGUAACGGCUCACCUAGGCGACGAUACAUAGCCGACCUGAGAGGGUGAUCGGCCACACUGGGACUGAGACACGGCCCAGACUCCUACGGGAGGCAGCAGUAGGGAAUCUUCGGCAAUGGACGAAAGUCUGACCGAGCAACGCCGCGUGAGUGAAGAAGGUUUUCGGAUCGUAAAGCUCUGUUGUAAGAGAAGAACGGGUGUGAGAGCGGAAAGUUCACACUGUGACGGUAGCUUACCAGAAAGGGACGGCUAACUACGUG